rnacentral:rRNA from 1 species
ACGUAGGGGGCGAGCGUUGUUCGGAAUUACCGGGCGUAAAGGGCAUGUAGGCGGUUUUGUAAGCUUGACGUGAAAGACCACGGCUCAACCGUGGGGGUGCGUUGGGAACUGCGAGGCUUGAGUUACGGAGAGGGAGCGAGAAUUCCUGGUGUAGGGGUGGAAUCUGUAGAGAUCAGGAGGAAUACCAAUGGCGAAGGCAAUCUCCUGGACCAUGACUGACGCUGAGGUGCGAAAGUGUGGGGAUCAAACAG